GUCACUUCAAGCUACAGUAAGGUAGUUAUUAUCAGGAGAGGCCUCCUGUUUAAAUUGUUCUUCAUACAAAUUUCCACUUUCUCUCUCUAGAACAACACACAAUGUGGUUAUAGUCUGCAAAUGCUAAGAGCUCAUUAGAACGUUGAUUAUAUAUUACCUGAUAGAAAAACAUCAAAAGGAUUUAGAUGAAAGUGUUAAAUUUAGUUUCACAAGCACACAGUUGUGAGAAUACUCUGAUCAUACCAUGAUCAUGAGAUACAGAUAGUUGUAUAAAAUUUUCUUAUAUUCUAACAUUUUCUAAUCUGACAAGCUAAAUGAAAGCCAGUAUGACUGCAAUAAUUAAAAAAAAAAAAAAAAAAAAGGAAUAUAUCAUACCUUAACAGUGCACGUAUUGCAAAGCAAUAUAACAAAGGGUAGUAGAGUAGUUUAUAAGUAGAGCUCCAUUCCUCAUGCUGCAGCACAGAAGGGAAGUCCUUUAGAUUCAGCUCUGUACAUUGCUGAUUCCAUUAGCAUUCUCCUGCCUCAGUCCUGAGCAGUCUACAGUAAACAUUCACUACAGAAGCAAGGCCAGGAAAGUAUAGCAGAGUGACAUACGGAGAACAGUGAAGUGUUCUUCGGGUGUUUUUUAAUCUUAAAGUGCCUUACUUUAAAUUCCACCGGUAGACUGUAACCCAGAAGGAAGAUAUUCAUCUUAUUAUUUCAUAGACAAUUCAUAUGUAUGAAGAUGUUGCCCUAAAAAUAUCAGGCAAGCAUACAUCUGUUUUUUGCCUCUGGUCUCAUUUUCUCAGGAUGAGGCGGAAUGUUAUUGCUUCUACAGUUAACUCUGCAUUCUCUUAUCUAUGCUGGGUUGUGGUGCAAAGGCUGCUACUUGUAACCCUUUUCUCAUGCUUAUUAGCGUGCUGAACGUGUUUUAUUUCAUUCUUACUUUGAGCAUUUAAGAAAGCUUCCCUCCUGUCACUGGGAAGAGCAUUUGUUUCCUACUGAACUAAAAACAAACAAACAAACAAACAAAUAACAACUACAAAGAAAAAAGGAUCAAGUCCUUAAUAUCACAGAUAUUAGCCUGACAGAUCAAAUGCACCUGACUGUGACCACAAAUACAUUUUUUCUUGUCUGUUUUUCUGCCUUACGCAGACAAUUUAUUGGACCUGGAAAGCAACUGCACUUGAAGCUGUUCCCUUGUCUGCAUUGAAACUGGCAUUGUACUUUUCUGUGUUUGUGCCUGCAGAUUCAUUUUGGUAAAAGCACAGUAAGAAAAGGUGAAAUAAAGAAUAAAACUUCUUCCAGAAACAUGUUCUCAAAAAGAAAUGUACUUGUCCCCUUAAAAAAACGAUUAAAUGCCAUAGUUAUCCAUUGUGACUUGGUUUGCUUGACUUCAGAAACUAAAGAUUUUGGCCUUGCUUUUACUUCUCUGCAGUCAAAAAAUUGCAUAGAAAUGACCUUCCAAGGUAUUUUCAGGCGUGAAAAUGUCAGUGUCAAUGCCUCUCCCUCCUUCUUUGUGUUUUUCUGGUGGCAGUGGUGAGAGAUGGGCAAAGCAAGUCAAGCACUACAGCAGCUGCUCUGUGGAAAGGAAGAUUACUCUACCUGGACUUUGAUGAAGAAACAGCGUCCUGAGCACUUGGCAUAGCACUGUUUCACAAAGAGGAUUAUCAGCAGGAGAAAAUUCCUCUGCCAUUCUGUUUCAUCCUAGAAUGAAAUGAAGCAGUGGCAACAGCACUCAUUCGAGGAUGCUGGCUCCAGCUUUGGAUGGUAGAAAGGCUGCUGACAGGAGGACCCGAGAUGAGAGGAGCAAAGACCUUUACUUCUCCUGCUCUCCUUGCAGCACCAGCAGGCUCAAACAGUCUUCAAUCAGAACAUCAAAGCCACCUUAUUAGAUAGUGAAGCAGCCAUGUGGUUGUUUGUGAUCAGCAUCUUAGCUUUGCAGUCCCCAAAACUAAAAGUGAAACCUGCUGUGUGAAGAAGCAAGGGACAUCUAUAACAAUGAGGUUGCGUACCCUCCAUGGCCCCUGAACGUACGUUGGGGAAUAUAGGCAUUCUGCAAUGUGCUCCUAAUAGAGAGAAACAAAAUGAUGUGUGGUAGCAGUCUUCAGGGUCCCACGAAUAUAGAAUACCUGGCAAAGAAGAAAAUAAAAUAAACUUUAAUAAAACUAUU
ensembl:lncRNA